GUUUAUGUGCAAGCCAAUCAAGCUGUAUUGUCAAAUUCUGUUUCUGCAUUUUCUAUUUUGGUAUCAAAGCCUCUUUCUAGGCAAUAUUUUCUUAACCAAAAAAAAAAAAUCAACCAUGACUACUCCUAGGAUUCCAAGCUCAAGUGAGCCAAAUAUUUUAUCCAGCCUGCAAAACAGAAGCUUACCCACUCAAUACAACGCAAUCAAACUUGAUCGCACAAAUUAUCUCAUAUGGGAAACAAUGAUCAUGCCAAUCAUCAGAGGCCACAAACUAGAUGGCUAUGCCCUUGGCACCAAGUUAUACGCUCCAGAAUUUAUGCCAAGAAUAACACCAGGGAGUACAGUUAAAAUACCAAAUCCAGAGUAUGAAGAGUGGCUUUCAAAUGAUCAAUUGCUCUUAGGAUGGCUGUACAGCACCAUGAGUUUAGAUAUAGCUUCUCAACUAAUGCCAAGAUCAACAUCAAAGGAGUUAUAGGAUGCAACAAAAGAAUUAUCAGGUGCGCAUACAAGGGCAGGAAUUGUCUACUACAAAGCUGAAUUACAGAAAACAAGGAAAGGAGGAAUGAAGAUGGAGGAAUACUUAACAACCAUGGAAGCCAUUGCUGACAACCUUGCUUUAGCAGAGUCAGUAUCUUGGAUUGAGCUGCAAACGAACCUGUUAACAUAUGAAAGUCAACUAGAACAGCUUAAUACCUAUCAAAGAGAGGAUAUUAACUUGAAUCAUGCCAUUGCUCACUUUGCGGCUAGCAACACCAACAACAGGUCAUUUAAUUCCAAUAAUGGCAGAGGACAAAAUUGAUCGAAUUACAAAGGCACAAAGGCAGAUUUCAUGGAAGAGGAGGCAGAAGCAAUGGAAAUAAAAUCUUGUGCCAGCUUUGUGAUAAAGGAGGGCACACUGCCUCCAUCUGCUGGAACAGGUUUCAUCGUAAUUUCUUGGGAAACUCAUCAAAUCAGCAAUCAAAUGCCCUGAUGGCUACUUCUGAAACAGUUGAAGAUCCAUCGUAGUAUGCAGAUACUGGAGCAAGCCACCAUAUGACCAACAACCCACAAAAUUUGCAGCACAAGCAGCAUUAUAAUGGACAAGCUGACAGGGCAGGUGAUGCUUAAAGGGAAGCUUGAAGAUGGUUUAUACAAGAUUGAAGCUGCUCCUUCCUCAAUUAAGUCUACUCGUCCAAAAAUAAAUUUUAUAGUCAUUUCUUUUUCAUCCAAUUUAUCAAAGUCAGAGUCUUAUUUGAAUUCAUUAAGUCCUUCAAAUGAGGAUGAGUGGCAUAGGAAGUUAGG